CUUUCUUCUUCCACCUGCUGCUGCUUCUCUUUAGAUCCACAAAAACUGCUGCUGCUGCUCUCUCUCUCUCUCUCUGAAUUUUCUAUAAGCUAAGAUGUGUAAAAUUUUGUAAUAUUCAGAUUUUUAAGAGUGUUGGCAACAUGUAGCUUGUUCUGUUUGGUACUUGUAAUAUAUAAUGCUUGUCUUGAAUUUCUGUAGGCUGUGAGAAAUAAUUGUCCUUGAAAUCUUGCUCUGUGAUUUAGUAACCUUCUAGUAUAUUUGUGUGAUCACCUUGUGUACUAGUCCCUGUACUAGUUCUCUGUACUUAUCCUAUUUGUAGUCUCUGUGUGUGUUAGCUCUAGUACCUGUGAUAUGUAUGAGUGUUUGUGUUGUGAUAUAUUUCUGUCCCUAUCAUAUUAGCUUGUUUCUUUCCUUCUGUCAUUGCUUGUUAUAUAUGUCUAUGUUUUUUUGAA
rnacentral:lncRNA from 1 species